rnacentral:misc_RNA from 1 species
GUAUCGCAGCUUACGACUAUCGCAUCGGACUACUUGCACCGGCUUUGGUAUCCGUGGGGGUUGGCCUGUUCGUGGUUUUUGCCAUUUGGGUCUUUCCCGAUGUCAAACCGAAAAGUCAGGCCAACAAAUAGGAACGUUGCGUUAGUGAAAAACCGCGUUACGGCGUCACCGAGAAAUAGGAACUUCUAAUGAAGCUGACGGGCAAGACUUUUCUUAUUUCCGGCGCGGCGAGCGGCCUUGGUGAGAGCGCUGCCCGCCUUAUGGCGCGCAAAGGAGCUAACAUUGUUAU